rnacentral:tRNA from 1 species
AAGCCCCGGCAUCAAAACUGGUGCCUCUCUAAAUUUGCACUUUAG